AAAACAUCCAGAGUGAGUAGAUUUUAGUCUUAGGAGAACAGACAACCUGUGUACAAAAAUGUCCCCAUCUGUGCAAUGAAUUAAUUCUUAUUAAAUUGUAUUUUGUUUUAGCGUCAGCUCCAGCUCUGUCAGUUCUACCUCCUUAGAGUCUAAUCAGCUUCUUCCGGAUAGUUCUACCUUUAACGGACAAAUGAGAGUUCCAGAGCGCGGAAUUCAGACCCGUCUCACUGGACUAAAAUCCCAGUGA
rnacentral:lncRNA from 1 species